AAUGAACGUUGGCGGCGUGGAUUAGGCAUGCAAGUCGAGCGAGAAACACCAGCUUGCUGGUGUGGACAGCGGCGAAAGGGAGAGUAAUACGUAGAAAUCUACCCCGGAGUCUGGGAUAGCGUCGGGAAACUGGCGGUAAUACCGGAUAACGUCUUCGGACCAAAGUUUUUCGCUCUGGGAUGAGUCUACGACCUAUUAGCUAGUUGGCGGGGUAACGGCCCACCAAGGCGACGAUGGGUAGCGGGUGUGAGAGCAUGAUCCGCCUCACUGGGACUGAGACACUGCCCAGACAUCUACGGAUGGCUGCAGUCGAGAAUCUUGUCAAUGGACAAAGUCUGAACAAGCGACGCCGCGUGUGGGAUGAAGGCCUUCGGGUUGUAAACCACUGUCAGAGGGAAGGAAAUUUUGACUGAACCUCAGAGGAAGGACGGGCU
rnacentral:rRNA from 1 species